AACUUCUGCAGCCCCAGGUCUACAGCGGGAUGGGGGAGCAGGAGAGGAGAUUUCAUUCCUGACCUACACGAAUGCCAGUUGGUGCCACACAGUGGAAUGACGCCAUCUAAUAGGUCUCAUCACAUCAUUUCACCAAGGGCCAUUCCCACAUUGGAGCUCUUCACCUGCGAGUGGAUGCAGCAAAUAGAAUCUGAACUCAAUGGAACAACUGUCCUCAGAAAAAUGAAUGCUACUUUUAGGUCACAGUGUACAAUUUGAGAGGGACAAGCUCACUUCUAACCUCAACCCAGCUCCCAGGUGAGUUACCUCUGUCUACCAGUUGACUGCACAAUGAGAAACUGAGCCACACACGCUCUGUCGUGUCUCCCAGACACUCUGAUGCAUCCACGCAGUCUGAUGGACGCAGCUUCAGAAGCUGGACAAGAGCAAGGGAAAAGCAGGAGGGGUGAGCUUCAUUCUGCACCAAGUACGGGGUGACAGCACGCCCCACUGUAGCCUGUCCACCUUUGCACCCUGAGUCCCUGGGCUCCACCAGCAUGUGUGAGUCCAUCCACUUUUGAAACAGGAAGUAGGCGCAAAGCAGUAUUGAACGGGCGGUGCUGGGCAGAAGACAGGAGGGACUACUGGUCCUUUACUUCUCCACUGAGUACAGCAUUAUCACCUUGUGGCUGCUAAGAGCAUUCGUAAGCAUAAUGUUUCUGUUUUUGAAUACGCAGAUGUCAGAAUUAAUAAAUAAAGAA